rnacentral:rRNA from 1 species
GACGAACGCUGGCGGCGUGCUUAACACAUGCAAGUCGAACGGAAAGGCCCUGCUUUUGUAGGGUGCUCGAGUGGCGAACGGGUGAGUAACACGUGAGUAACCUGCCCUUGACUUUGGGAUAACUUCAGGAAACUGGGGCUAAUACCGGAUAGGAGCUCCUGCUGCAUGGUGGGGGUUGGAAAGUUUCGGCGGUUGGGGAUGGACUCGCGGCUUAUCAGCUUGUUGGUGGGGUAGUGGCUUACCAAGGCUUUGACGGGUAGCCGGCCUGAGAGGGUGACCGGCCACAUUGGGACUGCGAUACGGCCCAGACUCCUACGGGAGGCAGCAGUGGGGAAUAUUGCACAAUGGGCGGAAGCCUGAUGCAGCAACGCCGCGUGCGGGAUGACGGCCUUCGGGUUGUAAACCGCUUUCGCCUGUGACGAAGCGUGAGUGACGGUAAUGGGUAAAGAAGCACCGGCUAACUACGUG